AUUAAUGGGACAUUCAGUGUCGGAGACCCCACAGGAAAUGUUUCUCUUAACUACGGCGAUCCCUAUGCUGACUUAGUCAUUGGCACAGGAAACACUGGGAAUUACAACCACUAUGCCACAGGGGCCUUCGAUGAGUUUGUGAUUUGGGAGAGGGCCUUGUCCCCUCAGGAUAUCUGGAUGUACUACAAAGCAGCCAUUGGUGAGAAUGUGAUGUCCACCUUCCCAACCGAAGCAUCCAUCAGUGUCACUGCUGCAGAUACUCAGUUAAAGAGAACCACAGAGAUGCCCCGACCUGCCUCCACAAACCUGACAGAGGAAGUUCAGAGACUUCAGGACCCCAUGCGGUUACAAACGCUAGACCUCCUUCAGUCAUUUAACCUUCCAAACAAGACUAUACCUCAGGAAACAGCCAACAAUCUUACACAGUCUCUACUGAAGAGCGUGGAUGAGGUCAUAACUGCC
rnacentral:lncRNA from 1 species